AGCAGUGUGGUCUAGUGGAAAGUGCACGUGUUUAGGAGUCAGGAGACCUGGGUUCUAAUCCCAGCUCUGCCA
rnacentral:tRNA from 1 species